rnacentral:antisense_RNA from 1 species
GCCCAACGCCAAUAUCGGCAAACUGCAAUUUAUCUGUAAACGGAAUCGUCGCUAGCACCAUAAACGCCGGCGCAAAUGCAAGUACAGGCGCGAGAAUAAACAAUGGUUUAUCGGCCAAUUUUGGAAUCGUAUCUUCUUUUAACAAAAGCUUUAAUACGUCCGCAACUGACUGCAAAAGCCCCCAUCGGCCGCCCACUUGGUUUGGGCCGUGGCGCAGCUGCAUAAAACCCAUUACUUUUCGUUCUGCA